GUGGGGAAUUUUGGACAAUGGGCGCAAGCCUGAUCCAGCAAUGCCGCGUGCAGGAAGAAGGCCUUCGGGUUGUAAACUGCUUUUGUACGGAACGAAAAGGCUCUGGUUAAUACCUGGGGCUCAUGACGGUACCGUAAGAAUAAGCACCGGCUAACUACGUGCCAGCAGCCGCGGUAAUACGUAGGGUGCAAGCGUUAAUCGGAAUUACUGGGCGUAAAGCGUGCGCAGGCGGUUUUGUAAGACAGAGGUGAAAUCCCCGGGCUCAACCUGGGAAUUGCCUUUGUGACUGCAAGGCUGGAGUGCGGCAGAGGGGGAUGAAUUCCGCGUGUAGCAGUGAAAUGCGUAGAUAUGCGGAGGAACACCGAUGGCGAAGGCAAUCCCCUGGGCCUGCACUGACGCUCAUGCACGAAAGCGUGGGGAGCAAACAGGAUUAGAAACCCUGGUAGUCC
rnacentral:rRNA from 1 species